rnacentral:rRNA from 1 species
UACGGAGGGUGCGAGCGUUAUCCGGAUUCACUGGGUUUUAAAGGGUGCGUAGGUGGGCAGGUAAGUCAGUGGUGAAAUCUCCGGGCUUAACCCGGAAACUGCCAUUGAUACUAUCAGUCUUGAAUACCGUGGAGGUAAGCGGAAUAUGUCAUGUAGCGGUGAAAUGCUUUAGAUAUGACAUAGAACACCAAUUGCGAAGGCAGCUUACUACCCGAAUAUUGACACUGAGGCACGAAAGCGUGGGGAUCAAACAGG